CGCUGCCAGUGGAUUUCCCCGUCAGCGGCUCCCGCUUGCCUGUCCUCGCCGCCGCCUGCUCCGCGAGCCCUUUCCUGCACGCCAGGCCAGUCCCUGCGAUUUCGGCAGAGCAGCGGGGCCGACUUCACCGCCUUUGAAUCCCGACCAAAGCAGGGAAGUGACUGGCUUUGUUUUUUUUGACUUUAAGAGCUCAAUGGCCCACUAAUCAAAUUCUUUCAUCAAAGGCCUGUUGGAGCAUAUCCCUAACAUAGAUCGUCCUUCCUCGGUGACUUAAAGAUGACCUCUGCUCAGAGUUUGCUCCUGUCGUCCUAAGCCUGCAUCUUAUUUUUAUCCCACAUUUUCUUAGGUUAUCUUUUCAAUAUGUUUGGUAACUAGUCUUGGCACAAACCCACAAGGGCAGUGACGCAAAUCAGGUUGGAACUUGGCAUGAUGUGUGGGCUUGAGUGACUUACUGUAAAAACCAGGGAAUGCUUCAUAAAGACGUUACUAUGGGCCAUUUCAGCUGCUGCUUAGAUGCCCUGCUCAGUUUCAGUCUGUCACUACCAUCUCUGCAAGGUACCAGGACAGACUGUUAAAAAUGCAGACUCUUGAGCAGUCAUACUUACUCUUCCUCUCCAGGAUUCCACAAGGAAAGCAGCAGUACGGCAGGAUUUCUCCAACUGCAGCUCUUGGACCUCGGCAUGGAGAGUGGCUGGGGGGAUGUGGCCACAGUGCAGGUUCUUAGACCCCUGCUCCAAACUACAGACUGGAAACCAUUUGUUUGUUUGAGGGUUAUUUGGAGCUAUUGGGAGAUUGGAGAAUAAUCUAGGAAUCUAUUUUGAAACUUUCCCUAUUCUUCUUCCCUGGGAUAUUUUACUUGUUUACCAUUUUCUUUUCAUCUCAUUGGGAGAUCUCCAGUCCCUGCUACCCUCCAGCCUCUGAACCAACUGCACUCCAGGCCUGUGGAGCAGCUAUCGCUGAGACUGCCUGCACUGCAAUACUAGAAGAUGGUAAGAAAAGGUUUCCUAGAGAAGAAGACAUCUGAGCCAAAGCCUGAAGGAAGUAAAGGAGAAUGCCAUGAAAACAUCUGGAGAAACAACAUUCCGAAGGCAAAAAGAACAGCACAGGCAGAAAGGUAUUCCUUGCUGUGUUUAAGGAAUAUUAAAGAGACCAAGGGAUCUGCAACAGAGCAAGAGAGAAGGAAAAUAGGAAAAGAGGUCAGAAAGGUAGGGAGCUCAGCUCACAUAGGGCCUUAUAGGCCAAUGAACUUUGGAAUGAAUGAAAUGGGAAGUCACUAGAUGAUUUUGAGCAUUAAAGGGACACAAUUUAUCUUAUAUUUUAGAAGGAUCACUUUGAUGUGGGAAAUAGACUACAGCAAGCAAGCAUGAAAGUAGAUAGACCAGCAAGAAUGUUACUAUAAUUGCCCAGACAGAAGACUAGACUAGCAGAUAGUGAACCUGGAGAAAAGUGGUGGAAUCCUGGACAUGUUCUAAAGAUAGAGCUGGCAAUAUUACCAAUGAAUGGAAAGAGUCCUGGUGAAAGGAGUCAAACUGAAUCAGGUCAAUCCAAUUCCAACUCCAUACUUCCUUUAAGAACAGGAAAAAGAAAAAGGGAGGUAAAAAAUACAGUCUGUGUUGUUAACAACUAGCAACUAAGUUGAAACUCAUGGUCACUGGCAAAGCCAAACUGUUUUAAUCACCCAAAAUAUCCUCAAUCUAAAUAGCUCAAUGUGUCUGCCUGAAAUAAGUUUAAUGUUAUGAAAAAAAAUGUAAUAUACCAAUUAUAAUACCAAUUUAUGAACAUUGCAGAAUUUGGGGCAUAUAAAAAUACUUCUCUCAAGGUUUGGAAAUAAUAAAGUAAAACAAGAAUCACAGCAAUCCUAUGAAAUAUGAGAUGAACAACUAUUAACCCUACUAUUCCAUAGGUUACAAAUUUUAAGUCCAGAUAAAUAUAUGGGUCCUUUGGGCCAAAUUCUAAUGUACUGAGAUGUAGGAUCAGUCUGCUGACUCUAAGUCUGGCCCAGAUGCACUCCUUGAUCAAUUUCUAUGCCUAGUUAAGACUGCCAAUCUUUUCUGCCUGUUUUAAAGACAUCAAAUACCAAUACCUUUAAUACCCAAGAUAUACAUCCUGAAACACAAAUAGACAACUGUAAGAUAUUCUACAAGGCAUUAGCAGAUUUCAGAGAGCCCACCAAAUGAUAGCUCAACAAAUCAUAAAGAACUUAGAAUUUGAUGAUCUUUAUCAGCCACCCUAAGUAUUCUGAAACAUCUCAUGCGCUUUAGCCGUAUGGAUUUCCUUUUUGUGUAUUUUUCAAUAGCAAAAUCUGUUCAAAUACAUGUGUGUAUUACAGGUGGCGGGUUGAAAGGGAUGGUUUCCAAAUUCACAAGAAAGAAUAUCUGUAAACACAUUUAAACAAAUUAUGUUUGGGAACUGUACUUUUUACUUCUCUGAUGGUGACCAUAUGAUAAUUACAUUCCCCCUAAAAUAAAAAAUAAAAACAAAAAAGA